rnacentral:misc_RNA from 1 species
UGGGUUUCCAGGGAUCCAUUUGAGUCGCCACCUGCUUUAAGGAGUCCCUUUAACUCAUCAAUAAUGAAGGGCUCUACCACCUUCCAGAAAAAUGUAGCAUUGUCCCCCAGAAAUCCUAUCCAAAAGACCUUCCCUCUAUUUUUUACUCGGCAGUGUAACGAUUUGGCUUUUAGUGCUUUAAGAAUACUCACAACACCCUCUGAACUUCCCUUUACUCUCAACAGAAUAUCACCAGAUGAUGUCCGGUAACCACCGUACAUAUACCAGUAAGCAAGAACGCGAGGUGACAACCAUCUAUGUAUAAGUUUUGGUAUACAAGGACGUCCGUUGG